rnacentral:snRNA from 1 species
GUGCUCACUUCAGAAGCACAUAUACUAAAAUUGGAACAAUACAGAGAAUAUUAGCAUGGCACAAGGAUGACAAAAAAAUUUGUGAAGAGUUUCAUGUAUUU